rnacentral:rRNA from 1 species
GUCCACACUGUAAACGAUGAUUACUAGGUGUUGGAGGAUUGACCCCUUCAGUGCCGCAGUUAACACAAUAAGUAAUCCACCUGGGGAGUACGACCGCAAGGUUGAAACUCAAAGGAAUUGACGGGGGCCCGCACAAGCAGUGGAGUAUGUGGUUUAAUUCGACGCAACGCGAAGAACCUUACCAAGUCUUGACAUCCUGCGACGGUGCUGGAAACGAACUUUCCUCGGGACCAGAGACAGGUGGUGCAUGGUUGUCGU